rnacentral:rRNA from 1 species
GAUCCUGGCUCAGGAUGAACGCUGGCGGCGUGCUUAACACAUGCAAGUCGAACGGACGAUGAAGAGCUUGCUUUUCAGAGUUAGUGGCGGACGGGUGAGUAACGCGUGGGUAACCUGCCUCAUACAGGGGGAUAGCAGCUGGAAACGGCUGAUAAAACCGCGUAAGCGCACAGCAUCGCAUGAUGCAGUGUGAAAAACUCCGGUGGUAUGAGAUGGACCCGCGU